rnacentral:rRNA from 1 species
GAUGAACGCUGGCGGCGUGCCUAAUACAUGCAAGUCGAGCGAACGGACGAGAAGCUUGCUUCUCUGAUGUUAGCGGCGGACGGGUGAGUAACACGUGGAUAACCUACCUAUAAGACUGGGAUAACUUCGGGAAACCGGAGCUAAUACCGGAUAAUAUUUUGAACAGCAUGGUUCAAAAGUGAAAGACGGUCUUGCUGUCACUUAUAGAUGGAUCCGCGCUGCAUUAGCUAGUUGGUAAGGUAACGGCUUACCAAGGCAACGACGCAUAGCCGACCUGAGAGGGUGAUCGGCCACACUGGAACUGAGACACGGUCCAGACUCCUACGGGAGGCAGCAGUAGGGAAUCUUCCGCAAUGGGCGAAAGCCUGACGGAGCAACGCCGCGUGAGUGAUGAAGGUCUUCGGAUCGUAAAACUCUGUUAUUAGGGAAGAACAUAUGUGUAAGUAACUGUGCACAUCUUGACGGUACCUAAUCAGAAAGCCACGGCUAACUACGUG